AAAGUGGGUGUGUCUGCUCAGCACAUAAAGAAGAACCACAACAACAGAUUGUAUAAAGCCUUGUAAAGCUGUAGGUAACUGAAUGGCAGAUAUGGACUCACAGGACAAUGGUUUUCCUCCACCAAUCUUUUCUUUCCUGGAGGAAGAAGACCAACCAAAGAAACGUCUCGCUGAUCCAAUCACCACUCCUCGAAAGGGACCACUUGCUUUAAGCAAGUUAGUUCCACAACAAACUGUUAUUCAAAGAACAAAAACGCAUCAUCAACCGUUUCCCAAGCAAAGGUGGCUGAAUCGAUUUCCUGUUCCCAACUUGCAGAGACCAAUAGAUGCCAUAGAAAGCAGCCUGGGUGUGCUGUCAUUUGCUGAGCUUAGGCAACAAGCUAUUACCGAUUGGAGCAGUGAGCGGCAUAACCCAGUCCUGCCUACAUCACUGAACCCUCUAAUGAAGUACAGUACUAUGGGAGUCGGUCAUCACGGUAACUUUGUUACAGAGAGCCACACCCACAAAACGAGUGGACCUAUGGACAUACUGAUAACAUACAGUCGGCACACCACACCCACGCACUAUCUAACGCACAGCUUGACCUCAUCGCUACCUCACAAGCAGUCUACAUACCUACCAACCAGUCAGGCUACACAAAUAAGACGCAAUACACCGACUAGAACUACGCUAUCUUCUCGCGAUCGAAUGAACACACAAGCAUUGAAAAACGAGGAUCGAAAUUAUAAUAUGGACAUAAGCCACCCCCUUCUAUCACCAAGGCAACAUGAUUCAGGAGUGCUGAUUGGUGCCGGGAUGAUGAGACCGUCUAUAGCCCCCCCUAGCUUACACGCAGUGGCUGUACACAAAUUCAAGCCUGUCACAGCUCAGACUAUUGUUAAAGGACAACGCCUGUACCCACACUCACUAAAUAUAUAGCUAGAGUUUAAUAAUGAUUGUCAUGAUCAAAUUAUUUUAUUACGUAAUCAUUGA